rfam:Celeribacter indicus strain P73, complete genome.
AGGCCCGCACAACGGCUUCCUGGCGUGCGGGAGAAACAAUCCAAUGGAGCA